rnacentral:tRNA from 2 species
GGGCCCGUAGCUUAGACCGGCUAUAGCGACAGGCUCAUAACCUGUUGGUCGAGGGUUCAAAUCCCUCCGGGCCCACCA